rnacentral:rRNA from 1 species
UACGUAGGGUGCGAGCGUUGUCCGGAAUUAUUGGGCGUAAAGAGCUCGCAGGCGGUCUGUCGCGUCGAAUGUGAAAACCCGGGGCUCAACUCCGGGCUUGCAUUCGAUACGGGCAGGCUAGAGUUCGGUAGGGGAGUCUGGAAUUCCUGGUGUGAGCGGUGAAAUGCGCAGAGUAUCAGGAGGAACACCGGUGGCGAAGGCGGUUCUCUGGGCCUGUACUGACGCUGAGGCGCGAAAGCGUGGGGAGCAAACAGG